UACGUAGGUGGCAAGCGUUAUCCGGAAUUAUUGGGCGUAAAGAGCGCGCAGGUGGUUAUUAAGUCUGAUGUGAAAGCCCACGGCUUAACCGUGGAGGGUCAUUGGAAACUGGUUGACUUGAGUGCAGAAGAGGGAAGUGGAAUUCCAUGUGUAGCGGUGAAAUGCGUAGAGAUAUGGAGGAACACCAGUGGCGAAGGCGGCUUCCUGGUCUGCAACUGACACUGAGGCGCGAAAGCGUGGGGAGCAAACAGG
rnacentral:rRNA from 1 species